rnacentral:rRNA from 1 species
AUUGAACGCUGGCGGCAUGCUUUACACAUGCAAGUCGAACGGCAGCGCGGGCUUCGGCCUGGCGUCGAGUGGCGAACGGGUGAGUAAUACAUCGGAACGUGCCCAGUAGUGGGGGAUAGCUCGGCGAAAGCCGGAUUAAUACCGCAUACGACCUGAGGGUGAAAGCGGGGGAUCUUCGGACCUCGCGCUAUUGGAGCGGCCGAUGGCAGGUUAGCUAGUUGGUGGGGUAAAGGCCUACCAAGGCGACGAGCCGUAGCUGGUCUGAGAGGACGACCGGCCACACUGGGACUGAGACACGGCCCAGACUCCUACGGGAGGCAGCAUUGGGGAAUUUUGGACAAUGGGCGGAAGCCUGCUCCAGCAAUGCCGCGUGUGUGAUGAAGGCCUUCGGGUUGUAAAGAACUUUUGGCAGGGAAGAAAAGGACUGUGCUUAUACCACGAUUCGAUGACGGUACCCGCAAAAUAAGCACCGGCUAACUACGUG